rnacentral:rRNA from 1 species
UGAGAGAAUUUACUCGCCCACCAUGGGGAAUGGAACCCCCGCCCCAAACUUCCUGGCGGAGGCCGCCAGUAGGGAAUUUUUCAACAAUGGGGGAAAAGCCUGAAGGAACCACCCCCGCGUUUGUGAUGAAGGCCUUCGGGUCGUAAAGCCCUGUUGUAUGGGAAGAACAGCUAGAAUAGGAAAUGAUUUUAGUUUGACGGUACCAUACCAGAAAGGGACGGCUAAAUACGUGCCAGCAGCCGCGGUAAUACGUAUGUCCCGAGCGUUAUCCGGAUUUAUUGGGCGUAAAGCGAGCGCAGACGGUUUAUUAAGUCUGAUGUGAAAGCCCGGAGCUCAACUCCGGAAUGGCAUUGGAAACUGGUUAACUUGAGUGCAGUAGAGGUAAGUGGAACUCCAUGUGUAGCGGUGGAAUGCGUAGAUAUAUGGAAGAACACCAGUGGCGAAGGCGGCUUACUGGACUGCAACUGACGUUGAGGCUCGAAAGUGUGGGUAGCAAACAGGAUUAGAUACCCUGGUAGUCCACACCGUAAACGAUGAACACUAGGUGUUAGGAGGUUUCCGCCUCUUAGUGCCGAAGCUAACGCAUUAAGUGUUCCGCCUGGGGAGUACGACCGCAAGGUUGAAACUCAAAGGAAUUGACGGGGACCCGCACAAGCGGUGGAGCAUGUGGUUUAAUUCGAAGCAACGCGAAGAACCUUACCAGGUCUUGACAUCCUUUGAAGCUUUUAGAGAUAGAAGUGUUCUCUUCGGAGACAAAGUGACAGGUGGUGCAUGGUCGUCGUCAGCUCGUGUCGUGAGAUGUUGGGUUAAGUCCCGCAACGAGCGCAACCCUUAUUGUUAGUUGCCAGCAUUCAGAUGGGCACUCUAGCGAGACUGCCGGUGACAAACCGGAGGAAGGCGGGGACGACGUCAGAUCAUCAUGCCCCUUAUGACCUGGGCUACACACGUGCUACAAUGGCGUAUACAACGAGUUGCCAGCCCGCGAGGGUGAGCUAAUCUCUUAAAGUACGUCUCAGUUCGGAUUGUAGUCUGCAACUCGACUACAUGAAGUCGGAAUCGCUAGUAAUCGCGGAUCAGCACGCCGCGGUGAAUACGUUCCCGGGUCUUGUACACACCGCCCGUCACACCAUGGGAGUUUGUAAUGCCCAAAGCCGGUGGCCUAACCUUUAGGAAGGAGCCGUCUAAGCAGACAGUUGUGGA